rnacentral:sRNA from 1 species
UAUAUAAAUAAUAAUAUUUUAAAAAUAAUAUUUUUGCUUAUAAGGUAAUGACAUAAUAACUCUAAAAGCAAGGAUUUAGAAGAUUUAAAUCUU